UACAGAGGUGCCAAGCGUUAGGCGGAAUCACUGGGCUUAAAGCGCGUGUAGGUGGACGGGUAAGUAUCUUGUGAAAUCCCACGGCUCAACCGUGGAACUGCUGGAUAUACUGCUUGUCUUGAGGCGCUUAGGGGCAGCUGGAACAAAUGGUGGAGCGGUGAAAUGCGUAGAUAUCAUUUGGAACGCCAAAGGCGAAAGCAGGCUGCUGGGAGUGAUCUGACACUGAGACGCGAAAGCCAGGGGAGCAAACGGG
rnacentral:rRNA from 1 species